rnacentral:lncRNA from 1 species
GGGGCGGGGAUGGGGUGGCGAACCUCGAAGACUUGUUCACGGUCCCAGAGUGCGGCCUGGGGCUCAAGAGGGCCCGAAUGAGCAAUGAGAGGGUGAACUUCCUAGAUAUUGGUGUCGCCCUGAUGGGGGACAUGAUCGCGGCGGGCGUGUGCAGGGGGCCCCGGUGCCGGCCGGUUGUCGUACUGAGCUGGUCGCCGGACUCAGUAUCCUUCAAGAAAUCAGCCUUCCGAGCCAUCUUCAGAAGAGCGUGUGGGUGCUGCACGAAUCAAAUGGACCUGCAACGGGAGCUUCAGUGCAUCUGUCGGUUGGGAGGGCAACAUGGAUAUCCGAUGGGC